rnacentral:rRNA from 1 species
AUGAGCACACUAGAGCAAUCGAUAAGGAAGUUUGCCGAGGAACCGACGAAUAGUGUGAUUAAACCAGAAAUAGGAACAAGUUUCGAUUCGUUGGGCGAGGCAUGCAACUUCUACAACCUGUAUUCAUGGGAAGUUGGAUUCGGUAGUAGAUAUGGGGAAAGCCGACUAAAUGCAGAAGAUAGAGUGCAGUUGUUCACUAAGUUCUGUGACACUAUCAUACUGAAGCUCAGCCAGACCACGACUGUCAACAGGGUCACAAUAUUCUUUGAGGAACACAAGCAAUCCAGUUAUGCAGCACACAGUAUUCUCCCCAGUUCUGCUCGAUUGGAUUGGCAGUUCAUGUACUCUGGUUUUGGAUGGGGUGCAUUCAUGCAUUAUAUUGGAGCAAGGACCUGUCGAGGAGGGGGAUACCAUGAGGAGGCGAACCUGGACAUUGUGAAGGCUUCUGAUGCAGUUUACAAGAAGCAAUUGAUAAGUGAAAUGAUAGUAAGAAGGUUAAAUAAUGUUGUUCAAUCUUUCCGUCAAGCAACCUGUUUGGCCCCAAAUGCCUAG